AGGGUACCCAUCAGCAUUGUGGAAGUGCAGUUGGACUUCGAUUGACCCACAUUCCAUGGCUUCUUAUAAAAGGAUUUUUAAUCCUACAAGAACAGAAAUAUCUUGGUCUAAGGAGCACAUUUGGUCCUUGGCAAAUAGCAAGCAAGUCACAAAUCGACUUUACAGUAGCCAAAUAUAUCAUUUGAUGAUACGAAAAAAACAUCGCACUAGGUUUUCUAACGUCUUCUAACAGGUAAAUGGUGGAUUUGGCCUUUAAAAGAUUCCAUAUUUUGCUUGGUUGGACGUUUUGAACAUUUGAAGCGCUUCGAUCACACGGACAAGACAUAAAAUGGCCGCCAUUGAUCAUAUCCGAAAUGUCGCCAUUUCUAACAUCUCUGACAACGGCCAUAGAUGACAAGACGUAAAACGGGCUCAGAACUACAAAAGUUCAUUUAUCAGCGCUAUGAAGAUACAUGCCUGGUGAUCUACAGAGAACUGGUAGACGGUGACAAACACUUAGCGAUAGCUUGGCAACGGGAGACUGUACCAGCGCUAAUUAGACUACAACAAGAACAUGACUUUGAGAAAGGGCAAGGAACUAAUUUUGGAAGCGUUGGAAAUACGAGUGGUGCCGGGCCCAGCAAUGAAGCAGAAGCAAUUCACGUCACACAUGCGAAAAGCAAUGAUGCAGCAUCACAAAUAUGUGUUAUUUUAUAACACUGGCAAUAGAUAAUAAGAUGAGAAAAGAUAGUCAGACCUCGACAGACCACUACGACCAAAGAAAGCCCCAUAGGCGUCAAACAUUCAAAAAUAAGCUUUUCACCGAGUUUGGGCCUCAUGUGAGUUAUUAUAGCAAUAAAGUUGAGGUUCGCGGGCAUAAAUAUGUUUGCGGCCUGACUAAACAUCUAUAUGCUCAAGAACCUCACCUCUAUUUCUAAAAAACUUUAUAGUGCAUUAACACAUUGACCCCUCAACCGGCCUGUGCCGGCUUUGGGAAGUACCCACAACUCAAAAAAAUCAUAAAUGCAAAAUAAACACAACAAGAUGAAGAUA